AUUCUUGUAGCUUAUGUUUAAAGCAUGGUUUUGAAGCAGCCAGGAAGGUAUCUUGCCCAAGAGUG
rnacentral:tRNA from 1 species